UGGGGAAACGGCUAGAAAAUGAAUGUUGAAAUGUUUCCAGACAAAGUUUAUAGAAGAAUGAAAUGUAGGAACAGUAGAUGGGUCUUUAACAGCUAUAUUGGAUGAAUAAUUUGUUGCAAGGAAAACUGAAGGUUACACUUUAUUUUAAGGCGAUGUUACAGUGUAAUUACACAAAUUUACUGAGUUAUUACUGAAUAACAUUCAUUUAAACUUGCUAUGGAGUUGAGGUUGUUUGGUUUGAGGUUAGUUGCUUAUAAUUACUGUUAUUGUUAAGUUCAUGUAACUACAUCACUUUAAAAUAAAGUGUGUGUAUGUAUAUAUCUACUGAAGAAUCAAAUUAAUAUCGAUUGGAAUUAAUUAUUUGGAAAAUGUGACGACAAAGACACCUAGAAAUGACAAUGUUGUUGCAUCAAAUAUAAAAUAUCAAACCGAGUGACAUCUGAAAAUAAAUAAUGCUGUACAUUUCUCUAGCCUAACUUUUCUAAGCUUUUUUCCCCAUUUAUUGAUUUAAACUACCAGUCUCAAGGUCAAUUUACUGGAUGUAUUAUAUAUUUCCCACCAGGAUUGAUAUUUUGUUAUAUAAGGCAGACAUUCAUACAUUUUUAAGUGUCCAAAUACAUUUGGGGGUCACUGUAGGUCAGUACAUCCCAAGAUCCCACCUAUACCUUUUUUUUUCAAUGUAUGCCAUUUGAUAUUUUGCCACCGUUGGGUGAGUUACCCAAAAUGAACUAUCCUUUUCAACCUCUCCUCACUCCUCCACAGGGGGAGGAAUUAAAAAGCAGAGCUGCAAAAUUUGCAAAAAAAAAAAAAAAAUUCCCUGCAGCAGCGCUUCUUAUGAAACAGAUCGUCGAGUUGAAGGGAGAGAGAAGAGAAAGCAAGAAAUGAAAGGGAGGGGUAGAGCUGAGGCAGCGGGAGGAGAGAAGAGGGCACACGCACCCGAUCAGAGCACAACAAACGCCAGCCCACCCUGAGCCUGGGGGAAGCGAAGGUUUCUCACUCAGUCAGCAGGACAGAUUACACUGGACCAGGAGCUUCAGACCGCCGCUCUCAGGCUGGAGAAACCUGCCAGCGAGGCACAACCUCAACACAUGGUCACAGAGCAGCAGGAAAAGAAACCUCUGUGCUAUUCUUACACAUCUCCAACGUUGCUACAGCUUCUGUUUUCAAAGGGGACAGACAACAAACCGGUGCUUUUCUGCGUGGCGUGUCAUUCCGAAACCUAGUGGGACAUCCCAACCAUGGAGGACACUCUCACUUGUACUCCCACCACCUUUUCCCAGGUCUUCGGCCGCCAAGGACAGCUGAUGCAAGCUACUGUGCAGUCUCUGAACAGCCUGAACGACCAGAUCGCUCAUUUCAUGGUGACCAGACCCAAUGCCAUGAGCCACGAAGAGGAAACCUUUCUGCCCACCGAGAGGGAUACUUUGAGCCAAUCCAUGGCUCUAAUGAGACACCUGCUCAUGGAUGCACAGCCCUCUCGUUUCUGAAGGAGCUGAAAAAUGAUUGUUAUUCAUGAGGAAGACGAGACUCAGAGGGAACAUCAGCGGUUGAGCUUCUGAUGACUCAUUCCUAAUUAUUUUCUAUGGUUAUAUCAUGAAGAAAUUUCAACACAUUAAUCAAGGAGCUUCAGCCUUAGGCAGACCACUGUGGCAUGACACUUUACUCCUGAUUGCAUCUAUGUCGCACAGGCUUCAAUAAGUCAGGACAGCACAUCUACACCCCCGGAUCCAUUAAUGGCCCUGUCCAUAGAGAUGCUGUCCACACUCACUCUAAAAACACUGUAAUCACUGAAAGAUUUCAACAGGUUUAUGCUCAGAGGUGAGUGCAAUAUUUCUAGUGAUGUUCCCCCAUCAUCUGAGUCACAAAAGAGACAAAAACAUCUCUUGUGAACCAACCUGCUGUUGUGCUCUUUCCCUCAAUGAAAGUUCAAUAGUUUGGAGUACGUAUGAUUUAUCUUUUUGAAAGAAAUGAAUGCUUUGAAAGGGAUACUCCACCCCAAAAUGAAAAUUUUGUCAUUAAUCACUUACCCCCAUGUCAUUCCAAACCCAUAAAAGCUCCAUUCAUCUUCGGAACACAAUUUAAGAUAUUUUGGAUAAAAACCGGGAGGCCUGUGACUGUCCCAUAGACUGCCAAGUAAAUAACAGUGUCAAGGUCCAUAAAAGGUAUGAAAGUCGUCGUCAGAAUACUCCAUCUGCCAUCAGACAUGUAAUCUGGGUCAUAUGAAGCGACGGGAACACUUUUUUGUAAGCGAAGAAAAUAAAAAUAACGACUUUGUGAUUUAGUAACUUUGUGACUUAGGCCAUGUUUUUUUUUUUCACUCUCAAAAUGCAAUCUUAUACAAGUUUUUUUUUGUUUUUUUUUUAAACAAUGCAGCAAACAUUUUUACAUAUCUUAAAAAUACUUUGAUGUCUUUAAAGUGUUGAUAGUAAUUUUUUUUUUUUUUUUAGUAGCCUACAUUUGGCCAGAAUCUAGAAAAGAUGACGCUGUAUUGGCUGUGAGUAAGCGCAGCGGGUUAUUGGCUAACUUUCCCAGAUCUCUCUUUUUCCUUUUCUUUUUGGGUAAAGAAAACGCUGUACUUUAUUAUUAUUAUUAUUAUUAUUAUUAUUAUUAUUAUUAGGCAAAUUAUAGGCAAAGAAAAUUGUUUUCUUUAAAAUAACGUUAUUAACCGGUAUUUCUUACACCCGAACCGGUUUCAGAACGGUAGCUAAUAAUAUCAGAGGAACGAAGGAACAGAAACGUUAAAAUAUAGAUUCUGCUCGGAGUGAACCGAUUGAAUUAUUUUUCGGUUUGAAGCCCUGUUAAAAAUUUGAAACAUUUUUUAUUAUUAUUAUUCAGUAUAAAAUGACCGAACGACACCAGAGGGUUAAAGAGAGUCGAUUCCAUAAAUUGGAAACGAUUCAGUCAAAUGGAAUCAACUCCAGCGUUUAGAAUCGGCUCUCGAUUCCAAAAACAUUCACAGCAAGUUCAAAGGACAGCACGGUGUGGAGCACGAGUGAAUAGUUAAUAUCUUCAAGUUCAUUCUAGCUGCAAGCUUCAGCAGGAAAUAAUAUUGAAUGAGCAUCAGAGGGUAUGUU
rnacentral:lncRNA from 1 species